rnacentral:rRNA from 1 species
CGCGUAGGCGGCUUGGUCAGUCGGAUGUGAAAGCCCUGGGCUUAACCUGGGAAUUGCAUUCGAUACUGCCGAACUAGAGUAUGGGAGAGGGAAGUGGAAUUUCCGGUGUAGCGGUGAAAUGCGUAGAUAUCGGAAGGAACACCAGUGGCGAAGGCGACUUCCUGGCCCAAUACUGACGCUGAGGUGCGAAAGCGUGGGGAGCAAACA